AGCCCUAUGGUGUAGUGGCCAAGCAUUGUAGGUUUCGGUCUGCAGACGGAAGUUCGAAUCUUCCUAGGGCUA
rnacentral:tRNA from 1 species